rnacentral:rRNA from 1 species
GAGUUUGAUCAUGGCUCAGAUUGAACGCUGGCGGCAUGCCUUACACAUGCAAGUCGAACGGCAGCACGGGAGCUUGCUCCUGGUGGCGAGUGGCGAACGGGUGAGUAAUGCAUCGGAACGUAUCCUGGAGUGGGGGAUAACGUAGCGAAAGUUACGCUAAUACCGCAUAUUCUGUGAGCAGGAAAGCGGGGGACCUUCGGGCCUCGCGCUCUUGGAGCGGCCGAUGUCGGAUUAGCUAGUUGGUGAGGUAAAGGCUCACCAAGGCGACGAUCCGUAGCAGGUCUGAGAGGAUGAUCUGCCACACUGGAACUGAGACACGGUCCAGACUCCUACGGGAGGCAGCAGUGGGGAAUUUUGGACAAUGGGGGCAGCCCUGAUCCAGCCAUGCCGCGUGAGUGAAGAAGGCCU